rnacentral:rRNA from 1 species
GACGAACGCUGGCGGCGCGCUUAACGCAUGCAAGUCGAACGGAAAGGCCUGCUUUCCCUUGUGGAUUGCGGGUACUCGAGUGGCGAACGGGUGAGUAACACGUGAGUGAUCUGCCCCCAACUUGGGUAUAAGCCUGGGAAACUGGGUCUAAUUCCCGAUAGGACUGCAGGGUGGUGCCUGUGGUGGAAAACGAUUUUCUAGUGGUUGGGGAUGAGCUCGCGGCCUAUCAGCUUGUUGGUGGGGUAAUGGCCUACCAAGGCGGCGACGGGUAGCCGGCCUGAGAGGGUGGACGGCCACAUUGGGACUGAGAUACGGCCCAGACUCCUACGGGAGGCAGCAGUGGGGAAUAGUGCACAAUGGGCGGAAGCCUGAUGCAGCGACGCCGCGUGGGGGAUGACGGCCUUCGGGUUGUAAACUCCUUUCGACCGCGAGGAAGCCACCUGGUUGGAAGGGUGGUGACGGUAGUGGUAGAAGAAGCACCGGCUAACUACGUG